rnacentral:rRNA from 1 species
CGGGACGGGUGAGUAACGCGUGGAUAACCUGCCUCACACAGGGGGAUAACAGUUAGAAAUGACUGCUAAUACCGCAUAAGCGCACGGUACCGCAUGGUACAAGUGUGAAAAACUCCGGUGGUGUGAGAUGGAUCCGCGUCUGAUUAGGUAGUUGGUGAGGUAACGGCCCACCAAGCCGACGAUCAGUAGCCGACCUGAGAGGGUGACCGGCCACAUUGGGACUGAGACACGGCCCAA